rnacentral:rRNA from 1 species
GAAUUCGCCCUUAGAGUUUGAUCCUGGCUCAGGACGAACGCUGGCGGCGCGCCUAACACAUGCAAGUCGAACGAGCGAGAGAGAGCUUGCUUUCUCGAGCGAGUGGCGAACGGGUGAGUAACGCGUGAGGAACCUGCCUCAAAGAGGGGGACAACAGUUGGAAACGACUGCUAAUACCGCAUAAGCCCACAGCUCGGCAUCGAGCAGAGGGAAAAGGAGCAAUCCGCUUUGAGAUGGCCUCGCGUCCGAUUAGCUAGUUGGUGAGGUAAUGGCCCACCAAGGCAACGAUCGGUAGCCGGACUGAGAGGUUGAACGGCCACAUUGGGACUGAGACACGGCCCAGACUCCUACGGGAGGCAGCAGUGGGGAAUAUUGCACAAUGGGGGAAACCCUGAUGCAGCGACGCCGCGUGGAGGAAGAAGGUCUUCGGAUUGUAAACUCCUGUUGUUGAGGAAGAUAAUGACGGUACUCAACAAGGAAGUGACGGCUAACUACGUGCCAGCAGCCGCGGUAAAACGUAGGUCACAAGCGUUGUCCGGAAUUACUGGGUGUAAAGGGAGCGCAGGCGGGAGAACAAGUUGGAAGUGAAAUCCAUGGGCUCAACCCAUGAACUGCUUUCAAAACUGUUUUUCUUGAGUAGUGCAGAGGUAGGCGGAAUUCCCGGUGUAGCGGUGGAAUGCGUAGAUAUCGGGAGGAACACCAGUGGCGAAGGCGGCCUACUGGGCACCAACUGACGCUGAGGCUCGAAAGUGUGGGUAGCAAACAGGAUUAGAUACCCUGGUAGUCCACACCGUAAACGA